GAUGAACGCUGGCGGCGUGCUUAACACAUGCAAGUCGAACGAACCUUCGGGUUAGUGGCGGACGGGUGAGUAACGCGUGAGAAUCUGCCCUCAGGAGGGGGAUAACGGUUGGAAACGACCGCUAAUACCCCAUAUGCCGAUAGGUGAAAUGAAUUUCGCCUGAGGAUGAGCUCGCGUCUGAUUAGCUUGUUGGUGAGGUAAUGGCUCACCAAGGCUUCGAUCAGUAGCUGGUCUGAGAGGAUGAUCAGCCACACUGGGACUGANACACGGCCCAGACUCCUACGGGAGGCAGCAGUGGGGAAUUUUCCGCAAUGGGCGAAAGCCUGACGGAGCAACGCCGCGUGAGGGACNAAGGCCUCUGGGCUGUAAACCUCUUUUCUCAAGGAAGAAGAUAUGACGGUACUUGAGGAAUAAGCCACGGCUAAUUCCGUGCCAGCAGCCGCGGUAAUACGGGAGUGGCAAGCGUUAUCCGGAAUUAUUGGGCGUAAAGCGUCCGCAGGCGGCCUUUCAAGUCUGCUGUUAAAGCGUGGAGCUUAACUCCAUUAUGGCAGUGGAAACUGAUCGGCUUGAGUAUGGUAGGGGCAGAGGGAAUUCCCGGUGUAGCGGUAAAAUGCGUAGAUAUCGGGAAGAACACCAGUGGCGAAGGCGCUCUGCUGGGCCAUUACUGACGCUCAUGGACGAAAGCCAGGGGAGCGAAAGGGAUUAGAUACCCCUGUAGUCCUGGCCGUAAACGAUGAACACUAGGUGUCGGGGGAAUCGACCCCUUCGGUGUCGUAGCUAACGCGUUAAGUGUUCCGCCUGGGGAGUACGCACGCAAGUGUGAAACUCAAAGGAAUUGACGGGGGCCCGCACAAGCGGUGGAGUAUGUGGUUUAAUUCGAUGCAACGCGAAGAACCUUACCAGGGUUUGACAUCCUGAGAACCUCUUAGAAAUUUGAGGGUGCCUUCGGGAAUUCAGUGACAGGUGGUGCAUGGCUGUCGUCAGCUCGUGUCGUGAGAUGUUGGGUUAAGUCCCGCAACGAGCGCAACCCACGUUUUUAGUUGCCAGCAUUUAGUUGGGCACUCUAGAAAGACCGCCGGUGAUAAACCGGAGGAAGGUGUGGAUGACGUCAAGUCAUCAUGCCCCUUACACCCUGGGCUACACACGUACUACAAUGCUACGGACAAAGGGCAGCAAACUCGCGAGAGCUAGCAAAUCCCAUAAACCGUGGCUCAGUUCAGAUCGUAGGCUGCAACUCGCCUACGUGAAGUAGGAAUCGCUAGUAAUCGCAGGUCAGCAUACUGCGGUGAAUACGUUCCCGGGCCUUGUACACACCGCCCGUC
rnacentral:rRNA from 1 species